rnacentral:lncRNA from 1 species
GACGACACAAUUUUCAUCUUUGAAGAUAAGUAAGAGAAUGCAAAGGCUGUGAAGAAUGUUUUGAAACUCUUUGAACUGCUUUUCGGUCUUAAGGUGAACUUUUGGAAAGAGUUGUGUGAUGGGCAUCGGUGUGGAGGAGGGACGAAUUGAACGCAUGGCAUCUAAACUCCAAUGCAGAGUGGAUACUGCUCCUUUUAAAUUCCUUGGAGUUAAGGUCGG